AACAAGGUCUCCGUUGGUGAACCAGCGGAGGGAUCAUUAGCGAGUUAAUCAUAAACUCCAAAACCCCUGUGAACUUACCUAUGUUGCCUCGGCAGGUCGUGGUGUGUAGCGGUGACCACUGGGUCGCUUGCCUCGCACCACGCUGAAAAGACCUGUCAAAGGACCCCUAAACUCUGUUUUUACAACUGUAUCUCUGAGUCUAUUAUACAAAUAAGUUAAAACUUUCAACAACGGAUCUCUUGGCUCUGGCAUCGAUGAAGAACGCAGCGAAAUGCGAUAAGUAAUGUGAAUUGCAGAAUUCAGUGAAUCAUCGAAUCUUUGAACGCACAUUGCGCCUGAUAGUAUUCUGUCAGGCAUGCCUGUUCGAGCGUCAUUUCAACCCCCAAGCCCUAUUUGCUUGACGUUGGGAGUUUACGGAGACGUAAUUCCUCAAAUAUAGUGGCGGAGCUAGGUCGUGCUCUAAGCGUAGUAACCACAAUUCUCGCUUCUGCAGCCGGCUUAGGUCCUGCCGUAAAACCCCUAUAUUUUUUUAUUGGUUGACCUCGGAUCAGGUAGGAAUACCCGCUGAACUUAAGCAUAUCCUUUCCCCUUAAAGGAGCAAAAGAAACCAACAGGGAUUGCCCUAGUAACGGCGAGUGAAGCGGCAACAGCUCAAAUUUGAAAUCUGGCCCUCGGGUCCGAGUUGUAAUUUGCAGAGGAUGCUUUUGGCGCGGUGCCUUCCGAGUUCCCUGGAACGGGACGCCUUAGAGGGUGAGAGCCCCGUACGGUUGGACACCAAGCCUCUGUAAAGCUCCUUCGACGAGUCGAGUAGUUUGGGAAUGCUGCUCUAAAUGGGAGGUAAAUUUCUUCUAAAGCUAAAUACCGGCCAGAGACCGAUAGCGCACAAGUAGAGUGAUCGAAAGAUGAAAAGCACUUUGAAAAGAGGGUUAAAUAGCACGUGAAAUUGUUGAAAGGGAAGCGUUUACGGCCAGACCUUUUCCUGGCGGAUCAUCUGGUGUUCUCACCAGUGCACUCCGCCAGGUUUAGGCCAGCAUCGGCUCCCGUAGGGGGAUAAAAGCAGUGGGAAAGUAGCUCCCUCGGGAGUGUUAUAGCCCGCUGCACAAUACCCUUACAGGGGCCGAGGACCGCGCUCUUGCAAGGAUGCUGGCGUAAUGGUCGUCAACGACCCGUCUUAAACAGGGGCGUU
rnacentral:rRNA from 1 species